UACAGAGGGGGCGAGCGUUAAUCGGAAUUACUGGGCGUAAAGCGCACGUAGGUGGCGACGCAAGUCGGGUGUGAAAGCCCCGGGCUCAACCUGGGAAUUGCAUUCGAGACUGCAUUGCUGGAGUACGGAAGAGGAAGGCGGAAUUCCCGGUGUAGCGGUGAAAUGCGUAGAUAUCGGGAGGAACAUCAGUGGCGAAGGCGGCCUUCUGGUCCAGUACUGACACUCAAGUGCGAAAGCGUGGGGAGCAAACAGG
rnacentral:rRNA from 1 species